rnacentral:sRNA from 1 species
GCGCUGAUCCUCGGUGACGUAGCCCAACUGGUUCCUCAGCCAGAGUUUGUGGAUGAUCCUUACAUACGCCACCCCUAUGAUAGUUAAUGGGAUUACGUACUGUACCAAAAUGGUGGCGAUGGUUAAGUACUGUUCCCACUUCAUUUUAGGUUCAGGAAACGCCGAUCUGCACCUUGUGACUUUGACGACAAAAAUGUCCAUCUCCCGGACUGAGUUGAAAAAGCCGUAAGGAAGAGCUAACGUAAACGCCAUUAUCCAGAUAACGACAAUGACGGCCGCCCCCGUCUGUUUGGUCAUCCGGGGCUUCAGGGGAUGCAAGAGGACUCGCUGUCUAUCAAACGCUAUGGCCGUCAGAGUGAACGUGGACACGUAGGAAGAAACCAUGAUGGAAUACGUCAACGCCUUACACAGAAUAAUCCCUAACGUCCAUUCGUAGGUCACAUUGCGGACGAUAUUCAGCGGAACGUUGAUUGACACCAACAAAAUGUCCGACAUCGCCAUGUUGGCAAGAAAUAUGUUGGUGACGGUGUGUAAAUUUUUGUUCCUGAAGAUGAUGCAGCAUAUCAGAGAAUUGAAACACAAGGACAGCAAGACAAGAAUGCCGAAGCUGAGUCCGAGCCAGAGGGUCCGACUCUGGUCAAUCCCGCCAUGAAAGUGGGAGGACGCCAGAGAACUAUUGGUGUUCUCAAACAGAUUUUUUAAAGUUUUGUUAUCAAAGUUGUCCAGAUAAUCGUAAAUCAAGGUAAAAUCAUG